CCUUAGAGUUUGAUCCUGGCUCAGGAUGAACUCUGGCGGCGUGCUUAACACAUGCAAGUCGAGCGAAGCACUUUGUUUUGAAUCUUCGAAGGAAGAACGAAGUGACUGAGCGGCGGACGGGUGAGUAACGCGUGGGCAACCUGCCUCAUACAGGGGGAUAACAGUUAGAAAUGACUGCUAAUACCGCAUAAGACCACGGUGCUGCAUGGUACAGUGGUAAAAACUCCGGUGGUAUGAGAUGGGCCCGCGUCUGAUUAGCUAGUUGGUGAGGUAACGGCUCACCAAGGCAACGAUCAGUAGCCGACCUGAGAGGGUGACCGGCCACAUUGGGACUGAGACACGGCCCAAACUCCUACGGGAGGCAGCAGUGGGGAAUAUUGCACAAUGGGGGAAACCCUGAUGCAGCGACGCCGCGUGAGCGAUGAAGUAUUUCGGUAUGUAAAGCUCUAUCAGCAGGGAAGAAAAUGACGGUACCUGACUAAGAAGCCCCGGCUAACUACGUGCCAGCAGCCGCGGUAAUACGUAGGGAGCGAGCGUUGUCCGGAAUUACUGGGUGUAAAGGGAGCGUAGGCGGGGAUGCAAGUUGGGUGUCAAAACUACCGGCUCAACUGGUAGUCGCACUCAAAACUGCAGCUCUUGAGUGAAGUAGAGGCAGGCGGAAUUCCUAGUGUAGCGGUGAAAUGCGUAGAUAUUAGGAGGAACACCAGUGGCGAAGGCGGCCUGCUGGGCUUUUACUGACGCUGAGGCUCGAAAGUGUGGGGAGCAAACAGGAUUAGAUACCCUGGUAGUCCACACCGUAAACGAUGAUUACUAGGUGUGGGGGGUCUGACCCCUUCCGUGCCGGAGUUAACACAAUAAGUAAUCCACCUGGGGAGUACGGCCGCAAGGUUGAAACUCAAAGGAAUUGACGGGGGCCCGCACAAGCAGUGGAGUAUGUGGUUUAAUUCGAAGCAACGCGAAGAACCUUACCAGGUCUUGACAUCGUGCGCAUAGCUCAGAGAUGAGUGAAGCCCUUCGGGGCGCAUAGACAGGUGGUGCAUGGUUGUCGUCAGCUCGUGUCGUGAGAUGUUGGGUUAAGUCCCGCAACGAGCGCAACCCUUGUAUUUAGUUGCUACGCAAGAGCACUCUAGAUAGACUGCCGUUGACAAAACGGAGGAAGGUGGGGAUGACGUCAAAUCAUCAUGCCCCUUACGACCUGGGCCACACACGUACUACAAUGGCGCGCAACAGAGGGUAGCAAAACAGCGAUGUGGAGCAAACCCCUAAAACGCGUCCCAGUUCAGAUUGCAGGCUGCAACCCGCCUGCAUGAAGUCGGAAUUGCUAGUAAUCGCGGAUCAGCAUGCCGCGGUGAAUACGUUCCCGGGCCUUGCACACACCGCCCGUCA
rnacentral:rRNA from 1 species